GGAAGGGCGAGCCAACCGGUGAUGGCACCCGAUUGGAAGUCGGGCGAGCGAUGAGCCUUGAGGGUUCGACUCCCUCUCCUUCCG
rnacentral:tRNA from 1 species